rnacentral:rRNA from 1 species
AGAGUUUGAUCCUGGCUCAGAUUGAACGCUGGCGGCACGCCUAACACAUGCAAGUCGAACGCGAAAGAGGGGCAACCCUUGAUUAGAGUGGCGAACGGGUGAGUAAUGCACAGGAACCUACCGUCGAGAGGGGGACAACUCGGGGAAACUCGAGCUAAUACCGCAUAAAUUCUACGGAGGAAAGGGGCCAUGUUGAAAGAUGUGGCCUCGCUUGAUGAGGGGCCUGUGUUGGAUUAGCUAGUUGGUAGGGUAAUGGCCUACCAAGGCAACGAUCUAUAGCUGGUCUGAGAGGAUGAUCAGCCACACUGGGACUGAGAUACGGCCCAGACUCCUACGGGAGGCAGCAGUGGGGAAUUUUGGACAAUGGGGGAAACCCUGAUCCAGCGAUGCCGCGUGUGUGAAGAAGGCCUAAGGGUUGUAAAGCACUUUUCGUUGAGAAGAGAGGUAUGACACAAAUACUGUCAUAUUAAGACGGUAUUGACGGAAUAAGCACCGCCUAACUCUGUGCCAGCAGCCGCGGUAAUACAGAGGGUGCAAGCGUUAAUCGGAUUGACUGGGCGUAAAGGGCGCGUAGGCGGUAAAUCAAGUUGGAUGUAAAAGCCCCGAGCUUAACUUGGGAACGAGAUCCAAAACUGAUUUACUAGAGUGUAGCAGAGGAGAGUGGAAUUUCCGGAGUAGCGGUAAAAUGCGUAGAUAUCGGAAGGAACACCAGUGACGAAGGCGGCUCUCUGGGUUAACACUGACGCUGAGGUGCGAAAGCGUGGGUAGCAAACAGGAUUAGAUACCCUGGUAGUCCACGCCGUAAACGAUGAAAACUAGCUAAGGGUGCCAUUUAAAGAACAUUCGUAGCGUAGCUAACGCGAUAAGUUUUCCGCCUGGGGACUACGACCGCAAGGUUAAAACUCAAAGGAAUUGACGGGGGCCCGCACAAGCGGUGGAUCAUGUGGUUUAAUUCGAUCAACGCGAAGAACCUUACCUGCUCUUGACAUCCUUCGAAUCCGCGAGAGAUUGCGGAGUGCCCGCAAGGGAACGGGGAGACAGGUGCUGCAUGGCUGUUGUCAGCUCGUGUCGUGAGAUGUUGGGUUAAGUCCCGCAACGAGCGCAACCCCUAUUCUUAGUUACCAAUCAUGUGUUAUGCAUGGAGGGACUCUAAGGAGACUGCCUGACGUAAGCAGGAGGAAGAUGGGGACGACUUCAAGUCAGCAUGGCCCUUAUGGGCAGGGCUACACACGUGGUACAAUGGGAGGCACAGAGGGUUGCGACCCUGCGAAGGUGAGCUAAUCUCAAAAAACCUCCCGUAAUUUGGAUUGGAGUCUGAAACUCGACUCCAUGAAACCGGAAUCGCUAGUAAUCGCGGAUCAGAAAGCCGCGGUGAAUACGUUCUCGGGCCUUGUACACACCGCCCGUCACACCAUGGGAGUGGGUUGUACCAGAAGCAGGUAGCUUAACCUUCGGGAGGGCGCCUUCCACGGUAUGAUUCAUGACU